AGCACGGGGCGGGACGGGUGCUUCCUCCGCCCCCGACAAGAUGGCGCGGCCCCGGCCCCGCUCCCUCAGGGCUCGGCCGCCAUGGCGGCCCCGGCCCUCGGCAGGGGGAAGCAGCUUCGUGUUCCCUGAGGAUCCAGAAAGAAGCUGGAAGAAUUGGAGCCGUGGGAUGUGCACGUCCUUCAUGAGCACGCAGCAGGAGGAAUUAGCAGUCAUCAAUCAUUUGGUGUGCUGACCUUUGAGAUCCAACAGGAGACACAUUCCUUGUGUUUUCUCCAUCUUGUCUGGGUUACCUGAGCUCCUCAAAACUCACUCAGGGACUUACCUGAGCAGGUGAGGUGUUGCUGCACCCUAUCACCAAACAGUCCACGGAAGCUUUACUGAGGUCAUUUCCCCAGCUUUAUUUGGGUUGUUUCUUCGUGGCUCUAUGUGGAUCAAAGGAUAGGACUGCAGGUCAGGUUUUUCCUCAGAUGCAGUACAAACGUUACUGGCAUAAAUGUCAGUGCUGAAA